rnacentral:rRNA from 1 species
UACGAAGGGGGCUAGCGUUGCUCGGAAUCACUGGGCGUAAAGCGCACGUAGGCGGAUUGUUAAGUCAGGGGUGAAAUCCUGGAGCUCAACUCCAGAACUGCCUUUGAUACUGGCGAUCUUGAGUCCGGGAGAGGUGAGUGGAACUGCGAGUGUAGAGGUGAAAUUCGUAGAUAUUCGCAAGAACACCAGUGGCGAAGGCGGCUCACUGGCCCGGAACUGACGCUGAGACGCGAAAGCGUGGGAGCAACAGG